UACGGAGGGGGCUAGCGUUGUUCGGAAAUACUGGGCGUAAAGCGCACGUAGGCGGACCAGAAAGUCAGGGGUGAAAUCGCGGGGCUCAACCCCGGAACUGCCUUUGAAACUUCUGGUCUUGAGGUCGAGAGAGGUGAGUGGAACUCCGAGUGUAGAGGUGAAAUUCGUAGAUAUUCGGAGGAACACCAGUGGCGAAGGCGGCUCACUGGCUCGAUACUGACGUUGAGGUGCGAAAGCGUGGGGAGCAAACAGG
rnacentral:rRNA from 1 species